rnacentral:rRNA from 1 species
GAUGAACGCUGGCGGCGUGCUUAACACAUGCAAGUCGAACGAAGCACCUUGAUUCGAUUCUUCGGAUGAAGAUCUUGGUGACUGAGUGGCGGACGGGUGAGUAACGCGUGGGUAACCUGCCUCAUACAGGGGGAUAACAGUUAGAAAUGACUGCUAAUACCGCAUAAGACCACAGCACCGCAUGGUGCAGGGGUAAAAACUCCGGUGGUAUGAGAUGGACCCGCGUCUGAUUAGGUAGUUGGUGGGGUAACGGCCUACCAAGCCGACGAUCAGUAGCCGACCUGAGAGGGUGACCGGCCACAUUGGGACUGAGACACGGCCCAAACUCCUACGGGAGGCAGCAGUGGGGAAUAUUGCACAAUGGGGGAAACCCUGAUGCAGCGACGCCGCGUGAGCGAUGAAGUAUUUCGGUAUGUAAAGCUCUAUCAGCAGGGAAGAAAAUGACGGUACCUGACUAAGAAGCACCGGCUAAAUACGUGCCAGCAGCCGCGGUAAUACGUAUGGUGCAAGCGUUAUCCGGAUUUACUGGGUGUAAAGGGAGCGUAGACGGAGUGGCAAGUCUGAUGUGAAAACCCGGGGCUCAACCCCGGGGACUGCAUUGGAAACUGUCAAUCUAGAGUACCGGGAGAGGUAAGCGGAAUUCCUAGUGUAGCGGUGAAAUGCGUAGAUAUUAGGAGGAACACCAGUGGCGAAGGCGGCUUACUGGACGGUAACUGACGUUGAGGCUCGAAAGCGUGGGGAGCAAACAGGAUUAGAUACCCUAGUAGUCCACGCCGUAAACGAUGACUACUAGGUGUCGGGCAGCAAAGCUGUUCGGUGCCGCAGCAAACGCAAUAAGUAGUCCACCUGGGGAGUACGUUCGCAAGAAUGAAACUCAAAGGAAUUGACGGGGACCCGCACAAGCAGUGGAGCAUGUGGUUUAAUUCGAAGCAACGCGAAGAACCUUACCUGCUCUUGACAUCUCCCUGACCGGCAAGUAAUGUUGCCUUUCCUUCGGGACAGGGAUGACAGGUGGUGCAUGGUUGUCGUCAGCUCGUGUCGUGAGAUGUUGGGUUAAGUCCCGCAACGAGCGCAACCCCUAUCUUUAGUAGCCAGCGGUCAGGCCGGGCACUCUAGAGAGACUGCCAGGGAUAACCUGGAGGAAGGUGGGGAUGACGUCAAAUCAUCAUGCCCCUUAUGAGCAGGGCUACACACGUGCUACAAUGGCGUAAACAAAGGGAGGCAGAACCGCGAGGUCGAGCAAAUCCCAAAAAUAACGUCUCAGUUCGGAUUGUAGUCUGCAACUCGACUACAUGAAGCUGGAAUCGCUAGUAAUCGCGAAUCAGAAUGUCGCGGUGAAUACGUUCCCGGGUCU